rnacentral:rRNA from 1 species
UACGAAGGGGGCUAGCGUUGCUCGGAAUGACUGGGCGUAAAGGGCGCGUAGGCGGUCGUGACAAGUCACUUGUGAAAUCUCCGAGCUUAACUCGGAAAGGUCAACUGAUACUGUGCGGCUAGAGUGCGGAAGGGGCAACUGGAAUUCUUGGUGUAGCGGUGAAAUGCGUAGAUAUCAAGAGGAACACCUGCGGCGAAGGCGGGUUGCUGGGCCGACACUGACGCUGAGGCGCGAAAGCCAGGGGAGCGAACGGG